rnacentral:rRNA from 1 species
GACGAACGCUGGCGGCGUGCCUAUUACAUGCCAGUAGAACGCUGAAGGAGGAGCUUGCUUCUCUGGAUGAGUUGCGAACGGGUGAGUAACGCGUAGGUAACCUGCCUGGUAGCGGGGGAUAACUAUUGGAAACGAUAGCUAAUACCGCAUAAUAGCAGUUGUUGCAUGACAACUGUUUGAAAGGUGCAAAUGCAUCACUACCAGAUGGACCUGCGUUGUAUUAGCUAGUUGGUGGGGUAAAGGCUCACCAAGGCGACGAUACAUAGCCGACCUGAGAGGGGGAGCGGCCACACUGAGACUGAGACACGGCCCAGACUCCUACGGGAGGCAGCAGUAGGGAAUCUGCGGCAAUGGACGGAAGUCUGACCGAGCAACGCCGCGUGAGUGAAGAAGGGUGUCGGAUCGUAAAGCUCUGUUGUAAGAGAAGAACGAGUGUGAGAGUGGAAAGUUCACACUGUGACGGUAUCUGACCAGAAAGGGACGGCUAACUACGUG